rnacentral:rRNA from 1 species
ACCUCGGAUCAGGUAGGAGUUACCCGCUGAACUUAAGCAUAUCAAUAAGCGGAGGAAAAGAAACCAACCGGGAUUGCCUCAGUAACGGCGAGUGAAGCGGCAAGAGCUCAAAUUUGAAAUCUGGCCCCUUUGGGGUCCGAGUUGUAAUUUGCAGAGGAUGCUUCGGGUGCGGUCCCCAUCUAAGUGCCCUGGAACGGGCCGUCAUAGAGGGUGAGAAUCCCGUCUGGGAUGGGCGGCCGCGCCCGUGUGAAGCUCCUUCGACGAGUCGAGUUGUUUGGGAAUGCAGCUCUAAGCGGGUGGUAAAUUUCAUCUAAAGCUAAAUACUGGCCGGAGACCGAUAGCGCACAAGUAGAGUGAUCGAAAGAUGAAAAGCACUUUGAAAAGAGAGUUAAACAGCACGUGAAAUUGUUGAAAGGGAAGCGUUGUCCACCAGACUCGCCCGGGGGGGUUCAGCCGGCACGUGUGCCGGUGUACUCCUCUCCGGGCGGGCCAGCAUCGGUUUGGGCGGCUGGUGAAAGGCCCCGGGAAUGUAACACCCCUCGGGGUGCCUUAUAGCCCGGGGUGCCAUACAGCCAGCCUGGACCGAGGCCC